rnacentral:rRNA from 1 species
CAGUCGCCACGGUAAUACGGAGGGUGCAAGCGUUAAUCGGAAUUACUGGGCGUAAAGCGCACGCAGGCGGUUUGUUAAGUCAGAUGUGAAAUCCCCGAGCUUAACUUGGGAACUGCAUUUGAAACUGGCAAGCUAGAGUCUUAUAGAGGGGGGUAGAAUUCCAGGUGUAGCGGUGAAAUGCGUAGAGAUCUGGAGGAAUACCGGUGGCGAAGGCGGCCCCCUGGACAAAGACUGACGCUCAGGUGCGAAAGCGUGGGGAGCAAACAGGAUUAGAUCCCCUGUAGUCCCUGUCUCUUAUACA